rnacentral:rRNA from 1 species
AAUGAACGUUGGCGGCGUGGAUUAGGCAUGCAAGUCGAGCGAGAACCCAGCAAUGGGGGACAGCGGCGCAAGGGACAGUAAUGUGUAGAUCAUCUGCCCUCAGGACCGGGAUAGCUGCGGGAAACUGCAGGUAAUACCGGAUAACAUCUCCGGAUCAAAGGUGUGAUUCCGCCUGAGGAUGAGUCUACAUCCUAUUAGCUAGUUGGCAGGGUAAUGGCCUACCAAGGCGAUGAUGGGUAGCGGGCGUGAGAGCACGACCCGCGUCAUUGGGACUGAGACACUGCCCAGACACCUACGGGUGGCUGCAGUCGAGAAUCUUCGGCAAUGGGCGCAAGCCUGACCGAGCGACGCCGCGUGUGGGAUGAAGGCCUUCGGGUUGUAAACCACUGUUAGAGGGGAUGAAAUGCAGGUGGGUUCUCCCAUCUGUUUGACAUAGCCUCAGAGGAAGGACGGGCUAAGUUCGUGCCAGCCGCCGCAGUAAGAC